AACAAGGAUUCCCCUAGUAACUGCGAGUGAAGCGGGAAAAGCUCAAAUUUAAAAUCUGGCGGUCUCUGGCCGUCCGAGUUGUAAUCUAGAGAAGUAAUGCCCGUGCUGGACCGUGUAUAAGUCUCCUGGGAUGGGGCGUCAUAGAGGGUGAGAAUCCCGUCUUUGACACGGACUACCAGUGCAUUGUGGUAUGCUCUCAAAGAGUCGAGUUGUUUGGGAAUGCAGCUCAAAAUGGGUGGUAAAUUCCAUCUAAAGCUAAAUAUUGGCGAGAGACCGAUAGCGAACAAGUACCGUGAGGGAAAGAUGAAAAGAACUUUGGAAAGAGAGUUAAACAGUACGUGAAAUUGCUGAAAGGGAAACGCUUGAAGUCAGUCGCGUUGGCCAGGGAUCAGCCUUGCUUUUGCAUGGUGUACUUUCUGGUUGACGGGUCAGCAUCAAUUUUGACUGCUGGAAAAGGGCCUGGGGAAUGUGGCAGCUUCGGCUGUGUUAUAGCCCCUAGUCACAUACAGCGGUUGGGAUUGAGGAACUCAGCACGCCGCAAGGCCGGGUUU
rnacentral:rRNA from 1 species